rnacentral:tRNA from 1 species
GGAGAGGUGGCCGAGUGGUUUAUGGCGGCUGUCUUGAAAACAGUUGAGCGAUGAGCUCCGGGGGUUCGAAUCCCUCCCUCUCCG